rnacentral:rRNA from 1 species
CAGCCGCCACGGGAAUACAGAGGGUGCGAGCGUUAAUCGGAUUUACUGGGCGUAAAGCGUGCGUAGGCGGCUUUUUAAGUCGGAUGUGAAAUCCCUGAGCUUAACUUAGGAAUUGCAUUCGAUACUGGGAAGCUAGAGUAUGGGAGAGGAUGGUAGAAUUCCAGGUGUAGCGGUGAAAUGCGUAGAGAUCUGGAGGAAUACCGAUGGCGAAGGCAGCCAUCUGGCCUAAUACUGACGCUGAGGUACGAAAGCAUGGGGAGCAAACAGGAUUAGAUACCCGAGUAGUCCCUGUCUCUUAUAC